rnacentral:rRNA from 1 species
AUUGAACGCUGGCGGCAUGCCUAACACAUGCAAGUCGAACGGCAGCACAGCAGUAGCAAUACUGUGGGUGGCGAGUGGCGGACGGGUGAGGAAUACGUCGGAAUCUGCCCAGUCGUGGGGGAUAACUAGCCGAAAGGUUAGCUAAUACCGCAUACGACCGAGAGGUGAAAGCGGGGGACCGCAAGGCCUCGCGCGAUUGGAUGAGCCGACGUCGGAUUAGCUAGUUGGCGGGGUAAAGGCCCACCAAGGCGACGAUCCGUAGCUGGUCUGAGAGGAUGAUCAGCCACACUGGAACUGAAACACGGUCCAGACUCCUACGGGAGGCAGCAGUAGGGAAUAUUGCGCAAUGGGCGAAAGCCUGACGCAGCCACGCCGCGUGAGUGAAGAAGGCCUGGUGUAAGCUCUGUCAUUCGGGAAAAACGGACGUAUCCGGGAAGUCGGUAGCGUGAUGGUACCGAAGGAGGAAGGACACCGGCAAACUCUGUGCCAGCAG